AGCGAACGCUGGCGGCAGGCCUAACACAUGCAAGUCGAACGAAGUCUUCGGACUUAGUGGCGGACGGGUGAGUAACACGUGGGAACGUGCCUUUAGGUUCGGAAUAACUCAGGGAAACUUGUGCUAAUACCGAAUGUGCCCUUCGGGGGAAAGAUUUAUCGCCUUUAGAGCGGCCCGCGUCUGAUUAGCUAGUUGGUGAGGUAAAGGCUCACCAAGGCGACGAUCAGUAGCUGGUCUGAGAGGAUGAUCAGCCACAUUGGGACUGAGACACGGCCCAAACUCCUACGGGAGGCAGCAGUGGGGAAUCUUGCGCAAUGGGCGAAAGCCUGGCGCAGCCAUGCCGCGUGAAUGAUGAAGGUCUUAGGAUUGUAAAAUUCUUUCACCGGGGACGAUAAUGACGGUACCCGGAGAAGAGGCCCCGGCUAACUUCGUGCCAGCCGCCGCAGUAAAAC
rnacentral:rRNA from 1 species